GUAGUCCACGCAGUAAACGAUGAUUACUGGGCGUAUGCGAUAUAUAGUAUGCUCCUGAGCGAAAGCGUUAAGUAAUCCACCUGGGGAGUACGCCGGCAACGGUGAAACUCAAAGGAAUUGACGGGGGCCCGCACAAGCGGAGGAACAUGUGGUUUAAUUCGAUGAUACGCGAGGAACCUUACCCGGGAUUGAAAUGUAGAUGACUGCAGAUGAAAGUUUGCUUCCCUUCGGGGCGUCUAUGUAGGUGCUGCAUGGUUGUCGUCAGCUCGUGCCGUGAGGUGUCGGCUUAAGUGCCAUAACGAGCGCAACCCACAUUGGUAGUUACUAACAGGUUAAGCUGAGGACUCUAC
rnacentral:rRNA from 1 species